GUUCCAGCCAAACCCCUGCAUGUGCGCGUUUGCGUUUGGGGACCCUCAAAAACCGGCAUUGGAGUGCAAUCACCGCACGCAGAAUGCCGCCGUCUAGGCUCGCGAGAACAGAGCGCCGUUGUCUCGGACCCGCGAGAAGCCUUCGCAUGCGCACUCGGUGCCACCGUCACCUCGGAAGGAGAAACGCCUUUCUCUGCGGCAGCCCAGCGUACCUUAAACCAUAGGAGAUGUCCAGAGGCCACGAGAUCAUCGUCACUGGAGACGAGAUCAGAUCGACCAAAGCCACCAACUACAGUGAAGCAAUAGCCCAAAUCCGCACCGUGUGACACUGGUCGCAUAGACCCAAGCCCGACCUCUUUAAAAAGCCCUGUAUUUCUGCUCAAAGGGAGGACGGCGGGUUUUUGAGAGGCUC